CCAGACUCCUACGGGAGGCAGCAGUGGGGGAUAUUGCACAAUGGGGGGAACCCUGAUGCAGCGACGCCGCGUGAGUGAAGAAGUAUUUCGGUAUGUAAAGCCCUAUCAGCAGGGAAGAACAAUGACGGUACCUGACUAAGAAGCACCGGCUAAAUACGUGCCAGCAGCCGCGGUAAUACGUAUGGUGCAAGCGUUAUCCGGAUUUACUGGGUGUAAAGGGAGCGCAGGCGGCGCGUUAAGCCUGGUGUGAAAGCCCACGGCCCAACCGUGGGACUGCUCUGGAAACUGUGCGGCUUGAGUGCGGGAGGGGCAGGCGGAAUUCCUAGUGUAGCGGUGAAAUGCGUAGAUAUUAGGAGGAACACCGGCGGCGAAGGCGGCCUGCUGGACCGUAACUGACGUUGAGGCUCGAAAGCGUGGGGAGCAAACAGGAUUAGAUACCCCCGUA
rnacentral:rRNA from 1 species